AGCAGCCGCGGUAAUUCCAGCUCCAAUAGCGUAUAUUAAAGUUGUUGCAGUUAAAAAGCUCGUAGUUGAACUUCGGGGUUUACUCAUUGGUCAGGCUUAAUUGUCUGUACUGGUGAGAUGAAUCUCUACCUUCUGAGGAACUUUCAUGUCAUUUAUUUGGUGUGAUUGGAAAUCAGGACUGUUACUUUGAAAAAUUAGAGUGUUUAAAGCAGGCUAACGUCUGAAUACAUUAGCAUGGAAUAAUGAAAUAGGACGGACUGAUUCUAUUUCGUUGGUUUCUAGGAUCACCGUAAUGAUUAAUAGGGAUAGUUGGGGGCAUUAGUAUUCAAUUGUCAGAGGUGAAAUUCUUGGAUUUAUUGAAGACUAACUACUGCGAAAGCAUUUGCCAAGGAUGUUUUCAUUAAUCAAGAACGAGAGUUAGGGGAUCGAAGACGAUCAGAUACCGUCGUAGUCUUAACCAUAAGCUAAUGCCGACUAGGGAUCGGACGAAGUUAAUUUUAUAAUUGAC
rnacentral:rRNA from 1 species